rnacentral:lncRNA from 1 species
GUGGUUCCGGGGAUGCAGCCUCCCACUUGUGUGUGUUCGGGAGAGCGCCCCUCCACCCGUGUGUGUCUGGGGGUGCUGCCUCACGUGUGUCUGGGGGUAGGUGCACGUCUCCACCUGUGUGUGUUCCGGGGGUGCGGCCUCUCCACCUGUGUGUGUUCCGGGGGGGUGCGGCCUCUCCACCUGUGUGUGUUCCGGGGGGGGAGGCCUCCACCUGUGUGUGUUCCGGGGGGUGCAGCCUCUCCAUCUGUGUCCUUGGGGAGGGGAGGGUGCGGCCUUUCCAUCUCUGUGUCCUGUGCGGCCCUUCCAUCUCUGUGUCUGGGGGUUGUGGGCAUUCCAUCCUGUGUCUUGUCUGAGUCUUCUCUUGACAGCUGUGACCUGGAAGCCACGUCCAGGUGUGUCCAGAGUUGGUUCCUUCCAGUGGGUUCAUGGUCUCGCUGACUUCAAGAAUGGAGCCACGGACCUUAGCGCUAGCUACAGAAAAGUUCUCCAAGUCCCUACUCGACCCAGGAAGUCCAGCCGCUUCAGCUCAAGAAAUCUCUUGCAGCAGAAACAUGAGCAUCCGCUCACGCCGGUGGCUUCCCAUUUACUGUAAUCCCAGCACUGGAGGCCGAGGUAAG